UACGUAGGGACCGAGCGUUGUCCGGAAUCAUUGGGCGUAAAGAGCGUGUAGGCGGCUAUUUAAGUCCUGCGUGAAAUCCUGCGGCUCAACCGCAGACGGUCGUGGGAAACUGGAUGGCUAGAGUGCGGGAGAGGAGAGUGGAAUUCCUGGUGUAGCGGUGAAAUGCGCAGAUAUCAGGAAGAACACCUAUGGCGAAGGCAGCUCUCUGGGACGGUACUGACGCUGAGACGCGAAAGCGUGGGGAGCGAACAGG
rnacentral:rRNA from 1 species